UAUUUUUCUGAAAAAAUUUCAAAUACCAUCCUUUAGUUUUAUAUUUUCUCAUGUUAGUACUCUAUGAUUUAAAAGGUGUCAAUCUAGUGUCCUGUAAUUUUAUUUUUUUUUAUUAUCAAUUUCACUAAUUUUUUUCAUUAAAUCAAUGAUAAAAUUAAAACUAAAGAAUAGUAAAGUGAAUAUUUGAUAAACCCAGCUAGAUUACCUGAAGUUUUUUUUGUAUAUAAUUAAACGAAAAAGCUGACGAAAAGAUAAAAAUAAAAUUACAAAACAUUAACUCGAUACACUUUAAACUAUGAAAUUCUAAAGUGAGAAAAUACGAAACCACAUGGCAUGGGUGGUAUUUGAAGUUUACCAUUUUUUUUUUUUUUUUUUUU
rnacentral:lncRNA from 1 species